rnacentral:lncRNA from 1 species
GCUUGGUCACAUGCUUGCUUUAUUCUUUUCUGAUUUGUUUUUGUCUCUGUUUUGUUUUACUGCAGUUUUUCACUUAACCAUAUGAGCCGAGGGUCGAUUGGAAACAACCUCCCUGCCCUUCCGGGUAGGGGUAAAACUCGUCUACAUAUUACCCUCCCCAGACCCCACCUGGUGGGAAUGUACUGGGUAGUAGUUGUUGUUUUUGUUG